GCAUUCUUAUUUUAGUAAAUUAAUUCUUCAGUUUUAAAACAGAAUUUUCAUGUUUUCAUUUAAAAUUAAGAUUCUCUAAUAUUUUACAUUCAUCAUCAGAUCUAAGAGAUUCUUCUGGUUUAUUUACAUUUAACAGUUUUUUAAAAUUUCUUUCUAAUAAAUGGUUCCUUCUUUGAUUUGACUGACUAAUAGUAUUUUUCAUUUUCUAUAUUUCCUAAACUGACUGAUUGGAAUAGAAUUUUCUUCAGUUUAAGUUUUGCUGACAUACCUAAUAACUCAUCUUUUAAAUUUCUCUUAAAAUCAUUUUCUGUGAAAUGAUUAAAGCAAACAUAAGAAGAAUCAGGAUUCCAGCUGUCUGCUCUUUUACACUUUUGAAUCAAUUUUUUUCAUACCAUUGGACCUUCAGGAAACCUGAUAUAAAUUUUUAUAUUUUGCAUUUUUAUAAAAAUAGUCACAAAUGCAGUUCUAAUUGAGGCAAAUGGGAACUUAUUUGUGCUGUAGACUAUGCCCAUAAGAAUAAAGAAGUCAAAGGAACAGUUUCAUUAUUUUUGAAUAAUUUUUAUCAAUCUAAUUUGUUAACACAUGUUUAAUAAUAGUAAUAACAAUAGAUAUAUAUGCCUUCAAACAUAAAAACUCUAUUUUUGUUAUUUUGUUAAAUCUUGAAACUUUUUUUAUCUGUUGUGAUGUAGUUGCUUGGUAUUCAGAUAUGUAUCCAAAAUCUGCAGGAAGUUCCUCAAACAGCUGUAUGAGACAACUGUAUAUUUAGGCAAGGUUAUUUUAUUUCUUUGGUUUAUGUGCAAAUGCAUUUUUGCUAACCAACACCAUCAGGUAGAAAAGACAACAGAUAAAUGCUGGAUAUAUUGUAAUCAAUUACCUACUCAAUAACCAAAAUUCCAGCAAAAAAUCUUUUACUUAUCAAACAUUUACAGCCUGAUGAUAUCAGUGGAAUGUGGACAAAAAUGUUUGUGUAAAUCAGCGAUUUUUGCUGGAGUUUAGGCUGUUGUGAGUGAAUACCAUCAGGUGGUACAAGUAUCACACAUUCAGCAUACUGUAUAUAUUCAUUCAUUCACUGUUGGAGAUGUUAAAUAAUAAGAAAUACUUAUACAAAACUAUUGAUAAUCAAUAUUUGAUGUAGAUCUGUUUUUUUUUUUCUUUCUUUUCUUUUUUUAAUGCCACAUAUUGCUAAUUAUAAUAUUUAAGUCUACUUUUUUGUAAUAAUAAAAAUUAGGAACUAACAUAGUAUUUCCACCCGUAAGAAUAAAUUGUUUAUUAAAUCUAUUAUGCCAACUUUUUAAUAACGUCCAUAUAGUAUAAAAUAAAAUAAGCAAUAAAAUUUAACAAUAACUAUUUACUAUGUUAUAUAUUGAUCAGUACUGUAGUUAUACAACAGUAACAACAUCAUCUGCAUUCUGAAAAUGGACCUGGAUUGGUUAAUUUGUUGCUUUCGGCUGGUAUUAAACCUGCUAUAAGAAUAUUCAUAAUGCAUAAAUCUAUCAUUAAUUAAUUGUACAUAGUUUCAGGAAUUGAAAUAGAUAAAAUUUAUUUUAAGUUUUCAAAUUAUUCUUUAUCAUUUUAUUCUAUCAAAAUAUGAAGAUUAGUGCAAGUGUGCCAACUUGCAACAAGUUUUGGUAUUCAGUUGUGCAAAAUCUUUGAAGGAUAAAUCAAACCUUCCUUUGAUCUUAAGGCUGUUAGCACAGUUACUGCACCCCAAUGCGGGCUUUCUUGUACUAAUACGCCAGUGCAUGCAUUCUAUUUUCCAUCAAUAAUCUUUUGAACAAUAAAUUAUUACCCCUAGGUAAAAAACAAUGUUUUCUGUUGUAGGAACCACAGCAUAAUCAUGUCCUCUAAUAUGGAUCUGAAUCAAGUAUGCUCUUGGUUCCAGAAGAUAGCCUGUAGCUUCUUUUUUGUCUCUUCCAAAAUGGUAACAUUCCUGUUUUGUCUUGCUUGAAAUUUUAACCUAAUGAGCAUAUUAACUGAUCCAUUCUCAAUAGUUCCUAGUUUAGGUGGCUGCACCUGGUUUAAACAGACAUUAAUUGAUAUAGGUAGAAGAACUGAACAGUAGUUGGGAGAGGGUAACCUCCACCUCCUUGAUGUAUAAUAUCAAAAAAUAGAAGAAAAAAUACAGUGCAAAAUUUCAUAUAUUAAGAAAGCAGGAAAAUAAAAAUGUUCAUAGCUUUUAACUGCAGUAUGAUGCUUCUGAUUUAAAUUUAGAUAUUGAUGUUCAACUUCAGAUUUUAAUACCCUAGCCAUUACUACAUUCAGUUUUAUGACUACUUAUUUCAAGAUGAUCCUGGCUAAAGCAUGAAUUUAAAACAUAGACAAAGCCUUCAUCCAAAAAUGUAUUUGCAAGAUCCAAGGCACUGUGAAGUGUAAAAUGCCAACUUGAAGCAACACUUAAAAAGUGAUGCUUCUUCUCUUGAGACAAAUUGUCUAUGUAGUUCUCCCAUGAAUCCAGCCAAGUGACAGCAUCCAGAAUGAUUUAGUACAUGUAGAACUUAAAUUGAUUUAAUUUUAAAUAUGCAAUGUAUGAUGUAUAAUAUGUUAUCUUUAGCUCAGGGAAACUCUUCAGUUAAUAGCUUUCUGUUAAUGUGUGUGUUUAAUAUAUUAACUGUUCCAAAAAGUCACAAAUUUUAUUGUACAAGAUAUAUCCUGCAAGAUCUUUAACACCUUGUAAACAAUAUUGCAGACUUGUAGCAACAGUGUUGCUGAACAGUUAAAAAUAUAAUAAAUGCUAAAUAGUUAAUACAAACUUAAUAAUUACCCAGCUCAAAAUGGGACUAGCAUGAAGUAUUUACCUGUGCUACAAGAUGAAGUGUUAUCCUCUGAAAUGAAUUUGGGUUUAGCUGCUCCUCUAUCAAUUUUGGUACAACCCUGAGGUAUUUCCAGCUUUUUUCUCUUUUCCAUGUCCUGAAAGUGGUGUAAAUGCACACCAUCUGGAAACUUACCAAACGAAUUCAGUAUUGUGAGUUAGUUACUUUUAUUCAUCAUAAUUAUGCUUUUGUAAUCUUACCUUGAAUACUUUCACUUUCAAUAAACAUUUCAAGUAGUGAGUCACAUCAAUAAGUUCAAGUACAUCUUCAUUGGUUAUUGGAUUUGGGAAAGCAAAUCUUGGCUUUUCUUUUCUCCCAUCAAUCCCUAAAAGACUUAAGGCUUGUUUAUUUGUAGCUGAGUACACUUACAGUACUCUUUACAAUAGCUCCAUAUUACCUUAAGCAUAUAAUAGCUUUGAUGAUCAUUUUGCUCAGAACAUAUUGGGAAUUGUCCUUUAACACAGAACAUUCCAAUAAUUUAGGCCCAUCCAUCUAAAAAUGGUUGGAACAUAAAAACUAAAGCAUAGGCUUUAGUUUUUAUGUUUACCUGAAGAAGAGUCCUCAUAAUUAAAUUCACCAAAGUUUGUUAAGCCAAUGAGUUUGCCAUUGUACUUAUCAGAAGUAAUAUUCUUUUGUAGAGAUUUCAUCUCACAUCAGGACAUUUUUCCUUUCAUGUUCUGGAAGUUCAACUAACUAACUUCUUCAGUUAACAAACAGUCAAACAGUUGUUCAUCAAUCCAAACUUUGCAUUUAUGCAUGUGACAUAUCUUUGCAACAUAGUCCUGUCUGAAAGUGGCAUGUAUUUAUUCUCUCUUAAAAAUUUGUAUGCUCCUGAGACUAAAUUCGUAAAAGUAAACUUUCUGAUAUCCAGUCUGAGUUAUAUCGCAUGUUUUUUAAUUAAGAUUAUUUAUUGUUGCUUGUAUUGUAUGUUUAAUAAAAAAAAAUGAUGUUGGGUGGGCAAUUGUUCAGAUAGUGCUUUUAGUUCUUCCAAUUCCUUCUUCAUGGCUUUAAAUCUUUUUUCCAUUACAGCAUACUUUUUCCACAUCAUCGUCUUAUAAAGUUUUAUCUUCCAAUUCAUUGCAUAUAGCUUGGUUUUCUGUAGUCCUGGUGUGAAUGAAUUUGAACUUGGCAGUGAACUUAUAUAUUCUGUAGGUGCUGAUAGUAUAUACUCAAACCCAGCUAAGGAUCCUAAAACUAAAAAUUGUUUAAAGUUAAUCAGUGUGGAUAGCCAAUAAAUUAUAAAUAUGUAACAUAGUUUACUUAAUGUAGUUUACUAUUUGUUUUAUUCUAAUUCCAUUAUAUCAAAAUUUAUUUACCUAGAACAACUUUAAAAUUUUCAGGAAGAUGUAGUCUAAUCCAUUUAAGUCAGUGAAGGUAAACCAUCCUAGCUUAUUUUAUGCUUUCACAUUCAUAUACUUUAAAAAUGCAAUAUUAUAACAGUUGGUUUUAUUUAAUCCUGGAAAUGCCAAAACAAAAUGUUUUUAAUUUACCAUCAUCAUUUAUCGGGGCUUCUAGGCUUGGGUCAUGUUUGAAAUGCCAUUCAUCUCUUACUGGUUAGAAAGCAUUUUCUUGUUGGCAGCAUGGUUUUUGAAAAGCAUUUUGACAGUUUGAGAAUAGUGUGGGAAUUGCGUCGGGUUAAAUCCCAUUUUCUUGUUCAAUUUCAAUACUCUGGCCAUUUAUAUUAUGUUUGUAAGAUUUUAAAAUAAAUCUUGGAUCAAAAUAUACAUCAUAAACAUGGUAGUUUGUUGUCAAAGACUUAUCCUUUCUUGGUUCUAUUCCACUUCUCCAAAAAUGCUUCUCUAACUUUAAAGAAAUGUCUUUUUUGAACAUUACUCUUUAAAGCUUCACAAUCUUUUUUUCUAUAACCAAUUUUACAUCCAGGUACUAAACACAUCAGCAUGAUAGCUUUUCGUUGAAGAUGAAAAGUCAGAGCCACAAACAGCAUUAGACAUUUUUUAACAUUGAUAGCGUCGUGCACAAACUAGAGAAAAUAACCUUGAUAUUAGGACCUUGGUUCAAAGGUAUUUCGUUACUUUUUUACAUUCGUCUUUACGAGAAAAUAAUAUCUAAUUUCAAAAGUAGGUUAGUUUAGAAUAUUAUGUUAAUCGAAAUUUAGUAAACAAACAUAUAUUUGUGUAAGUAAUAAUUCAAACGUUUCUUAAUAACACAAUUAAUUAAUUCCUUAAUUUGGUUAAUGUUAUCCAUGGUGACUAAAAUGGCCGCGCAUCGGACUGUUCGUGCUCACAGAUCUCCCGGAGGGGAGCUGCUGGCAGGCCGGCGAGUGUGUAACAUCACUAGUUAUUGAUUCACGGUAGUUCUUGAACAAAGUAAAAAAAAAAAAAAAAGAAAGGAAACUUCUACUAAAAAUAUA